rnacentral:rRNA from 1 species
ACGCUCGACACCUACGGAGGCAGCAGUGGGGAAUAUUGCACAAUGGGGGAAACCCUGAUGCAGCGACGCCGCGUGAGCGAAGAAGUAUUUCGGUAUGUAAAGCUCUAUCAGCAGGGAAGAAACUGACGGUACCUGACUAAGAAGCACCGGCUAAAUACGUGCCAGCAGCCGCGGUAAUCUGAGCGGGCUGGCAAGGC